rnacentral:rRNA from 1 species
GUCUUUACGUGGAAGAUGUAAAGUCGGGCCUGCCCACUGAUUAAUUGAAGGGCCGCGGUAUUUUGACCGUGCAAAGGUAGCAUAAUCAUUAGUCUUUUAAUUGAAGGCUGGUAUGAAUGGUUUGACGAGAUAUUGACUGUCUCAUUAUAAAAAUUUGAAGUUAACUUUUUAGUCAAAAGGCUAAGUUGAAGUUAGAGGACGAGAAGACCCUAUAGAGCUUUAUAAGUAUGAUGGAAUAGUUGAUUUUGGUUUGUUGGAAAUUGAUAAUUUUGUUGGAUUUAUUGGGUUGGGGUGAUUUGAAGAUUGAAUAAACUCUUGAUGGUUAAAAACAUAGAUUUAUGGUAUAAUGAUCCAUUAUUAGUGAUUAAAAGAUUAAGUUACCUUAGGGAUAACAGCGUAAUUUUUUUUGAGAGUUCUUAUCGACAAGAAAGAUUGCGACCUCGAUGUUGGACUAAGGAAUAUUAUUGGGUGUAGUAGUUCAAUGAAUAGGUCUGUUCGACCUUUAAAUCCUU